rnacentral:rRNA from 1 species
AUGAACGCUGGCGGCGUGCCUAAUACAUGCAAGUCGAGCGAACAGACGAGGAGCUUGCUCCUCUGACGUUAGCGGCGGACGGGUGAGUAACACGUGGAUAACCUACCUAUAAGACUGGGAUAACUUCGGGAAACCGGAGCUAAUACCGGAUAAUAUAUUGAACCGCAUGGUUCAAUAGUGAAAGACGGUUUUGCUGUCACUUAUAGAUGGAUCCGCGCCGCAUUAGCUAGUUGGUAAGGUAACGGCUUACCAAGGCAACGAUGCGUAGCCGACCUGAGAGGGUGAUCGGCCACACUGGAACUGAGACACGGUCCAGACUCCUACGGGAGGCAGCAGUAGGGAAUCUUCCGCAAAGGGCGAAAGCCUGACGGAGCAACGCCGCGUGAGUGAUGAAGGUCUUCGGAUCGUAAAACUCUGUUAUUAGGGAAGAACAAAUGUGUAAGUAACUAUGUACGUCUUGACGGUACCUAAUCAGAAAGCCACGGCUAACUACGUG